rnacentral:sRNA from 1 species
CCCACCACUCUGAAUGUAGUGCACACUUAAGAAUUUAUAUGGAUCAGCGUUGAGGCUGAGACAUGUUCUUUUAUAACUUGUGACGUAGCGAGCGUUUGAGAUAUCUAUCUAAACGUGUCGUUGAGGCUAAGGCGGGGACUUCGAGUCCCUAAAUAAUUGAGUCGUAUGUUCGCGUUGGUGGCUUUGUACCCCACACAACACGUACAUGUAACUCCGAGGCAACUUGGGGUUAUAUGGUCAAGCGAAUAAGCGCACACGGUGGAUGCCUAGGCGGUCAGAGGCGAUGAAGGACGUGGUAGCCUGCGAAAAGUGUCGGGGAGCUGGCAACAAGCUUUGAUCCGGCAAUAUCCGAAUGGGGAAACCCACUGCUUCGGCAGUAUCCUGCAGUGAAUUCAUAGCUGCUGGAAGCGAACCCGGUGAACUGAAAUAUCUAAGUAACCGGAGGAAAAGAAAUCAACCGAGAUUCCCUAAGUAGUGACGAGCGAACGGGGAGCAGCCCUUAAGCUGGAAUGGCUUUAGAAAAACAAUCUGGAAAGAUUGGCCAUAGAAGGUGAUAGCCCUGUAUUUAAAAGGGCCACUCCAGUGAAGACGAGUAGGGCGGGGCACGUGAAACCCUGUCUGAAUAUGGGGGGACCAUCCUCCAAGGCUAAAUACUCCUGACCGACCGAUAGUGAACCAGUACC